GUGGGUAUAGCUCAGGGGUAGAGCACAUGUUUAGCAUGCAUGAGGUCCUGGGUUAAAUCCCCAGUUACCUCCA
rnacentral:tRNA from 1 species